CGCGCUGAGUAGAGACCCGUGAUUGAGAUCUUCCCUGUCGUUUAGAAGAGGGUGCUGGGAGUGCUGUGAGCAGAGAGGAAAAACAGAAUCAAGCGGAGGGCAAUAGAAUUCCAGAGCUGCAUAUCCCUUUGGACCUGAUGGAUAAAGAAAGGAGCCAUAUGCCUCUUAGUCAUAAAAAGAGAACAUUCGAAGGACCAUUCAAGCAAAUACGUCUAAGCCACUGAGAUAUUGUUAAUUGGCGAAGACAGAUGCAGAGAGGAGCUCAGACAGAAGGAGCUGAGAUUUUCUAUUCCUCAUCUGAAGGUGCCUGGAUAAAGAAACUAAUGCUGAGAGAAGUUAAAUAAUAUGCUCAAGGACAUACAAAUUAUAUGGCAGAGCUGGGAUUCCCUUCAGUAAUUCAACUUUAUGUCCUAAACCUUAAUCAUUAUGUUCCUGGAUACGCAGUACUUCCUAACACAGGAUGGGACCUGGAAUACUCUACUGCUUCCACACUAUUGGGAUUGGAGAUGGUGGUUUAGGCUGACACUUGUCAUAGCCCUCCCCCCAGAUUCACACUGAAUGAGGAGAGAAAAACAUCAGCUCCAAGCUUCUCCUUGCAGAAAGGAAGAGCACAUACCCAAUGCCUCAACUUUCUGGAGACAGCCCAAAAGACUGAUGUAAGUCCAGCUUGUCUUAGAGCACUAAAACGGCAUGGCAUACUCCUUAUAGUUGGGAGCAAGUGAGAAACAAAAAUGGUAAUUUGAACUGGCAGCUCUGUAGCCCCUCCACCCAGCUCAGCACAGGGCAAAUGGGCAAAAAACCCUAGAUCCCUCCUUUCCUUGUGAACGAGCAGCCAAUUAGCCAACUUUACUGGAGACUACAUGAAGGAAUGGUUGGUUGUCUUACUUGUCUUGGAAUACUGAAAGGAUUUGGCGUACUCUCGUUGUCCAUCUAGGGACCACAAAGAAAGGGCAUUUGAUUAAUGUGAAGACUGGGAAGGCCGACAAAAUCUCCAGCCACCCUGAGACCCAGUGGAUCCCAAAUAAAAUGAACCCAAAGAAAUCUACACUGAGACCCAGUGUAAUCAUAUCGUCAACAGUCUAAGAGGAUUUUGAAAGCAGCAAGAGAAAAAUAGCUUAUUACAUAAAAGGGAACCUUGUAAGACUAUCAUAUGAAUCUCUCAUCAGAAAACUUGUAUGUCAGAGGAAGUGGAGCAAUAUAUUCAAAGUGCUAAAAUAAAAUUAAAAAAACCCUGCCAACCAAGAAUACUAUAAUCCUAUUCUAGACAAACAGCUGAGAGAGUUCUUCACCACAGCACAGGUGUGCCUUCCAAUAAAUGUGAAAAAGAAUUCUUCAAGUUGAAAGAGGAGGACAUGAAAGAGUAAUAUGAAAUAUAUGAAAAGUAUAAAACUCACCAGUAAUAGUACAUGUAUAGACAAAUACAGAAUAAUGAAAUACUGUGAUGGUAGUAGGUAAAUCACUCUUAAUUGUAACACAAAACUAAAAGGCAAAAAUAUUAAAAAUAACUGGAAAUAUAUAAAUAUGUUAAUGGAUACAUAGUUAACAUGCAAAAUAUGUUAACUGAGACAUUGGUGGGAGAAGUAAAAGAAUAGAAUUUUUGUAUGUGAUUGAAGUUAGUUGUUAUCAACCUAAGACACUGUUAUAAGAUAUUUUAUGUAAGCCUGAUGGUAACUACAAAGAAAAUUCUUAUGGAAGAUACACAGAAGAAAAAAGAAUCAAAGUAUAGUAACACAAAAAAGUCAGUGAAACAAAAGAAGAUAGCAAGAGAGGAAAAGAGGGAUGAAAGGACUAUGAGAGAAAAAAAAUUAGCAGGAUGUCAAUAGUGAGUCCUUCCCUAUCAAUAACUGCUUUAAUGUAUAUGGAUGAAAUUCCCCAUCAAAAGAUAAAGAGUAGGGGAAUGGAUCAAGAGCAAGGUGCAACUAUUGCUAUCUACAGGAAACUCAUUUUAGAAAAAUGAAUAUUCAAAUAAAUAAAAUCAGAAAUGAAAGAUAAGAUGUUAUAUACAUUAUAUCUGAUACCUCAGAAAAAAGGAUCAUAAGAACUAUGAAAAAUGUAUGUCAACAAAUUAGAUAACCUAUAGGAAAUGGAUAAAUUCCUAGAAACAUAUAACCUACUAAACUGAAUCAUGAAGAAAUAGAAAAUCUGAAUAGACCUAAAGCUAGUAAGAAGAUUAAAGUAAUAAUAAAAAAACCUCCCAUCGAAUAAAAGCCCAGAACCAGAAGCCUUCAUGGAUAAAUUCUACCAAACAUUUAAAGGCUAAUCAAUCUCAGUCCUUCUCAAACUCUUCCAAAAAUUGAAGGGGGGAACCCUUCCAAAUUCAUUUUAUGAGCAAACAUCACCCUGAUAUGAAAACCUGACUAAAAACUUUUUGUAAAAAAUUGAGAAUAAGACAAGGAUGCCCACUCUUGCCACUUUUAUUCAAUAUAGUAUUGAAAGUCCUGGCAAGAGUAAUUAGGCAAGAAAAAUAAACAAAUGCUUCCACAUAAGAUAGGAAGAAAUAAAAUUAUCUCAGUUUACAAAUGAUUUUAUUAUUAAACAAUAGACCUAAAAAUCUGUUAGGACUAAUGAACAGAUUCUGUAAAGUUAUAGAAUACAGAAUCAAUGUACAAACCUCAGCUGCAUUUCUAAACACUGACAACAAGCUAUCUGAAAAACAAAUUAAGAAAUAAAUCCUAUUUGUAAUAUCAUCAUGAAGAAGAAAGUACUUGUGAAUAAAUUAAGGAAGUGAAAGACUUUUAUACUGAACACUGUAAAGUAUUGAUGAAAGAAAUGAAAGGAAAUACAAACAAAUGGAAAGACAUUGUAUGUUCAUAGGUCAAAAACCUUAAUAUUGUUAGAAUGGUCAUACUACCCAAAGCAAUCUAUAGUAUGGUAUAGCAAUUUAUCCCAAUGGUGUUUUUAAUAGAAAUUUAAAAGUAAAUACUAAAAUUCAUAUAGAAGCACAAAGGUCCCAAAAUAUCCAAAACAAUCUUGAGAAGGGAAAAAAAAAAAAAAAA
rnacentral:lncRNA from 1 species